AUAAGACUCUCACUUACAUCAUUUGACUGCAACCCAAAUACUUUAAUUAAGCUAAAACCUCAAUGAGCUAG
rnacentral:tRNA from 1 species